CGGCGAGUGAAGCGGCAACAGCUCAAAUUUGAAAUCUGGCCCUCGUGGUCCGAGUUGUAAUUUGUAGAGGAUGCUUUUGGUGCGGUGCCUUCCGAGUUCCCUGGAACGGGACGCCAGAGAGGGUGAGAGCCCCGUACGGUUGGACACCUACCCUAUAUAUAGCUCCUUCGACGAGUCGAGUAGUUUGGGAAUGCUGCUCUAAAUGGGAGGUAAAUUUCUUCUAAAGCUAAAUACCGGCCAGAGACCGAUAGCGCACAAGUAGAGUGAUCGAAAGAUGAAAAGCACUUUGAAAAGAGGGUUAAAUAGCACGUGAAAUUGUUGAAAGGGAAGCGUUUGCGACCAGACCUUUUCCCGGCGGAUCAUCUGGUGUUCUCACCGGUGCACUUCGCUUGGUUUAGGCCAGCAUCGGUUUCUUUAGGGGGAUAAAGGCGUUGGGAACGUAGCUCUUUCGGGAGUGUUAUAGCCCUUCACGUAAUACCCUUCGAGGGACCGAGGACCGCGCAAGGAUGCUGGCGUAAUGGUCGUCAACGACCCGUCUUGAAACACGGACCAAGGAGUCGAACAUUUGUGCGAGUGUUUGGGUGUUAAACCCUCACGCGUAAUGAAAGUGAACGGAGGUGAGAGCCCUUACGGGUGCAUCAUCGACCGAUCCUGAUGUCUUCGGAUGGAUUUGAGUAAGAGCAUAACUGUUCGGACCCGAAAGAUGGUGAACUAUGCGUGGAUAGGGUGAAGCCAGAGGAAACUCUGGUGGAGGCUCGCAGCGGUUCUGACGUGCAAAUCGAUCGUCAAAUCUGCGCAUGGGGGCGAAAG
rnacentral:rRNA from 1 species